rnacentral:rRNA from 1 species
CGGAGGAAAAGAAACUAACAAGGAUUCCCCUAGUAACUGCGAGUGAAGCGGGAAAAGCUCAAAUUUAAAAUCUGGCAGUCUUUUGGCUGUCCGAGUUGUAAUCUAGAGAAGUGUUAUCCGCGCUGGACCGUGUACAAGUCUCCUGGAAUGGAGCAUCAUAGAGGGUGAGAAUCCCGUCUUUGACAUGGACUGCCAGGGCUUUGUGAUGCGCUCUCAAAGAGUCGAGUUGUUUGGGAAUGCAGCUCAAAAUGGGUGGUAAAUUCCAUCUAAAGCUAAAUAUUGGCGAGAGACCGAUAGCGAACAAGUACCGUGAGGGAAAGAUGAAAAGAACUUUGGAAAGAGAGUUAAACAGUACGUGAAAUUGCUGAAAGGGAAACGCUUGAAGUCAGUCACGUUGUCCAGGGAUCAACCUUGCUUUUGCUUGGUGCACUUUCUGGUUUGACGGGUCAGCAUCAAUUUUGACUAUUGGAAAAAGGUUAAGGGAAUGUGGCAUCUUUGGAUGUGUUAUAGCCCUUGGUCACAUACAAUGGUUGGGAUUGAGGAACUCAGCACGCCGCAAGGCCGGGUUUUAAACCACGUACGUGCUUAGGAUGCUGGCAAUAUGGCUUUAAUCGACCCGUCUUGAAACACGGACCAAGGAGUCUAACAUGCCUGCGAGUGUUUGGGUGGAAAACCCGAGCGCGUAAUGAAAGUGAAAAGUUGAGAUCCCUGUCGUGGGGAGCAUCGACGCCCGGACCAGACCUUUUGUGACGGUUCCGCGGUAGAGCAUGUAUGUUGGGACCCGAAAGAUGGUGAACUAUGCCUGAAUAGGGUGAAUCCAGAGGAAACUCUGGUGGAGGCUCGUAGCGAUUCUGACGUGCAAAUCGAUCGUCAAAUUUGGGUAUAGGGGCGAAAGACU